CCCCUACGGGAGGCAGCAGUAGGGAAUCUUUCACAAUGGGCGAAAGCCUGAUGGAGCAAUGCCGCGUGCAGGAUGAAGGCCUUCGGGUUGUAAACUGCUUUUAUAAGCGAGAAAUAUGAUGGUAACUUAUGAAUAAGGAUCGGCUAACUACGUGCCAGCAGCCGCGGUAAUGGGG
rnacentral:rRNA from 1 species